rnacentral:lncRNA from 1 species
GAAAUUAGAAUAUUAUAAUACUUCAACAAAUCUAAAUAAAUUUCAAGUACAAAAUAAUAAUAAUAAUAAUAAUAAUAACCAGAAAAAAAAUUCUUUCACGUUCGAAAUUAAAGUGUUCUUGUUCUGCAUCACUUUUGAUCUUGUUCCAAACAGAUUAUGAUGAUUCAAGAUUUUGGAUAGUUUCUUGUUCCAAAUAGAUGAUGAUGAUGAUUCAAGAUUUUGGAUGAUCUUGAACCAGAAUAUCCUCCAGAAGAACCAAGAAAUGAAAUUUCUGGCUCACCAGAGAAAUUUAUGGAGCAUGAACCAUGACUCUCUAAGUUCAGUUAUACUAAGCAAGCUGAUGAGACGACAACAGAUUCAAGAUUAACUAUACAAAAACAGGUUCAAGAAUUCCAGAAAGAAAAGAAAGAAAGAAGGAAAACUGAUCUCUUCUCUCACUUCCACGAAGGAAGAGGGAGCCGAAGUUGAAAAACCUUGCAGGAAACGGUGACGUUUUCUAUUUGGAGGGGCUGGGUUUGAAGAAAUAAAGGAGAGAAAGGCUCAGGCUGGGACUAUUUCCGACCUUGUUUGGUUCAUUUUUGGUGUUUGGCCGGUGGGAAAAAAAAAAAAAAAGAUGCAGAGGAAAAGGAAGAGAGAAAAAAUUGGCAUGGAUCUUUUGGUUCUG